AGUCAAGUAAUUAAGUGCAUGUGGUGGAUGCCUUGGCAGUCAGAGGCGAUGAAAGACGUGAUAGCCUGCGAAAAGCUCCGGGGAGGCGGCAAAUAUCCUUUGAUCCGGAGAUGUCUGAAUGGGGGAACCCACCUACUUUAAGGUAGGUAUUGCAACAUGAAUACAUAGUGUUGCAAGGCGAACGAGGGGAAGUGAAACAUCUCAGUACCCUUAGGAAAAGAAAUCAAUUGAGAUUCCCUCAGUAGCGGCGAGCGAACGGGGAUCAGCCCAUUAAGUUAUGUGUGUUUUAGUGGAACGCUCUGGGAAGUGCGAACGUAGAGGGUGAUAUUCCCGUACACGAAAGGGCACACAUAAUGAUGACGAGUAGGGCGAGGCACGUGAAACCUUGUCUGAAUAUGGGGGGACCAUCCUCCAAGGCUAAAUACUCCUGACUGACCGAUAGUGAACCAGUACCGUGAGGGAAAGGCGAAAAGAACCCCUGUGAGGGGAGUGAAAUAGAUCCUGAAACCGCAUGCAUACAAGCAGUGGGAGCACCUUCGUGGUGUGACUGCGUACCUUUUGUAUAAUGGGUCAGCGACUUAUAUUCAGUAGCGAGGUUAACCGUAUAGGGGAGCCGUAGAGAAAUCGAGUCUUAAUAGGGCGUUUAGUUGCUGGGUAUAGACCCGAAACCAGGCGAUCUAUCCAUGAGCAGGUUGAAGGUUGGGUAACACUAACUGGAGGACCGAACCCACUGUCGUUGAAAAGCCAGGGGAUGACUUGUGGAUAGGGGUGAAAGGCUAAUCAAGCCUGGUGAUAGCUGGUUCUCCCCGAAAGCUAUUUAGGUAGCGCCUCGGACGAAUACCAUAGGGGGUAGAGCACUGUUUCGGCUAGGGGGUCAUCCCGACUUACCAAACCGAUGCAAACUCCGAAUACCUAUGAGUACUAUCCGGGAGACAGACUGCGGGUGCUAACGUCCGUAGUCAAGAGGAAAACAAUCCAGACCGCCAGCUAAGGCCCCAAAAUCAUAGUUAAGUGGGAAACGAUGUGGGAAGGCAUAGACAGCUAGGAGGUUGGCUUAGAAGCAGCCACCCUUUAAAGAAAGCGUAAUAGCUCACUAGUCGAGUCGGCCUGCGCGGAAGAUGUAACGGGGCUAAAACUAUGUGCCGAAGCUGCGGANNAUGCUGGAGGUAUCAGAAGUGCGAAUGCUGACGUGAGUAACGACAAAACGGGUGAAAAACCCGUUCGCCGAAAGACCAAGGGUUCCAGUCCAACGUUAAUCGGGGCUGGGUGAGUCGACCCCUAAGGCGAGGCCGAAAGGCGUAGUCGAUGGGAAAAUGGUUAAUAUUCCAUUACUUCUGUGUAAUGCGAUGAGAGGACGGAGAAGGCUAAAUCAGCCUGGCGUUGGUUGUCCAGGUGAAAGGAUGUAGGCAUGUAUCUUAGGCAAAUCCGGGGUACUCUAUGCUGAGAUCUGAUAGCAAGCUGUACUUGUACAGCGAAGUGGUUGAUGCCAUGCUUCCAGGAAAAGUCUCUAAGCUUCAGUUACACAGGAAUCGUACCCGAAACCGACACAGGUGGUCAGGUCGAGUAGACCAAGGCGCUUGAGAGAACUCUGCUGAAGGAACUAGGCAAAAUGGUACCGUAACUUCGGGAGAAGGUACGCUGUUGUUGGUGAUGGAACUCGCUUCCUGAGCUGACGACAGCCGCAGAAACCAGGCCGCUGCAACUGUUUAUUAAAAACAUAGCACUCUGCAAACACGAAAGUGGACGUAUAGGGUGUGAUGCCUGCCCGGUGCUGGAAGGUUAAUUGAUGGGGUUAGCGUAAGCGAAGCUCUUGAUCGAAGCCCCAGUAAACGGCGGCCGUAACUAUAACGGUCCUAAGGUAGCGAAAUUCCUUGUCGGGUAAGUUCCGACCUGCACGAAUGGCAUAAUGAUGGCGGCGCUGUCUCCAGCAGAGGCUCAGUGAAAUCGAAAUCGCUGUGAAGAUGCAGUGUACCCGCGGCUAGACGGAAAGACCCCGUGAACCUUUACUGCAGCUUGACACUGAACUUUGACCUUACUUGUGUAGGAUAGGUGGGAGGCUUUGAAGCUGGAACGCUAGUUCCAGUGGAGCCGUCCUUGAAAUACCACCCUGGUAAUGUUGAGGUUCUAACUCUGUCCCGUGAUCCGGGACGAGGACCGUGUCUGGUGGGUAGUUUGACUGGGGCGGUCUCCUCCUAAAGAGUAACGGAGGAGUACGAAGGUGCGCUCAGCGUGGUCGGAAAUCACGCGUAGAGUAUAAAGGCAAAAGCGCGCUUAACUGCGAGACCCACAAGUCGAGCAGGUACGAAAGUAGGUCUUAGUGAUCCGGUGGUUCUGUAUGGAAGGGCCAUCGCUCAACGGAUAAAAGGUACUCUGGGGAUAACAGGCUGAUACCGCCCAAGAGUUCAUAUCGACGGCGGUGUUUGGCACCUCGAUGUCGGCUCAUCUCAUCCUGGGGCUGAAGCAGGUCCCAAGGGUAUGGCUGUUCGCCAUUUAAAGAGGUACGCGAGCUGGGUUUAGAACGUCGUGAGACAGUUCGGUCCCUAUCUACCGUGGGCGCUGGAAAUUUGAGAGGAUCUGCUCCUAGUACGAGAGGACCAGAGUGGACGAACCUCUGGUGUACCGGUUGUGACGCCAGUCGCAUCGCCGGGUAGCUAUGUUCGGAAGGGAUAACCGCUGAAAGCAUCUAAGCGGGAAGCCUACCUCAAGAUAAGAUUUCCCUAGGACUUUAUGUCCUCUAAAGAGCCGUUCGAGACUAGGACGUUGAUAGGUUGGAUGUGGAAGCAUAGUGAUAUGUGAAGCUGACCAAUACUAAUUGCUCGUGAGGCUUGACUAU
rnacentral:rRNA from 1 species